rnacentral:sRNA from 1 species
AUAUUAAUUUGAUUUAUUUAUUAAUUCUUUUCCAUUUUUUUAAUAAAUGUUCACACAAAAGACUCUUCCAGCGAUUAGAUCUUGUACAGAUGUGAACAAAAUCAACGCAUAAAGCAAACGAGGAAAACAAAUGCAUUUUGUUUGUGUAAAUUCUUGUCUCUUUCAUUCCACGAUCGCAACUACAGUAAAAUAUCACGAUUAACUUACCAUUUCGGUGCUCAUUGCAUGUCGUUUCUCGGUAAAAACUAGCUGAGUGGGCACUGUAACUUCACGGAAUUGCGGUUAUUUGCCGCCUUCAAAAACAAACCGAAGGCGGCUUCGUUUUUCGGUUCUUUUUCGACUGGUCCGCGUUCGCUUCCCGCGUAACUAGUUGCGUAGCUAGUUGCGCGGUAAACAGCGCAGAACUAGUUCGAGAGGGGUCAAUUGACCCCUGUGGUUCUACAGGGUAGCGAGAGAUAAACAGACAACAUUUGGCGCUAAUGCAAACGCGCAACGUCAGCGUCGACGUCAGCGCAAGGGACGAUUCUAAGGCAAAUCUUUAAUAUGAUAUUUAUGGGCCAAGGCGAAGGAGCAGAAGGCCAGCAGAGCGAGAGAGAGAGAGAGAGAGAGGGAGAGAGAGUUAAAGGCGAGUGAUAAAUGACUACAGCUACAUCUACGGACCACCACUCCAGCUGCUCCUCCCCCUGCUCUAGCAACAGCAGAAGCUCAAACUCCAAUUCCAAGUCCAAUUCCAACUCCGACGUCGACGUCGACGUCAACGUUGCUCAUUCAAAUGUAACAGCACGAGCCUCAGUCACAGUCUCAGCUUCAGCCCCAGCCCGUUGUCGGUUCGCUUCGCUGUCGCUGUUGAGCCGAAGGUGAGCAAGUCCAAGGUGUACUAAUCUGCAAGGUGGGGAUUCCAUUCCCAUUCCAUUCGCUCUAUCCUAGUGUCAAAGAUUGUAUACACGUUGCUAGCUUCCUUGUAUCUUCGUAGAUUAUUAAGUCUUAAAAAUCGUGAGAGUGCACUGUAAAAUGCCUCACCUUACUAAAAAUACACCUUGAGCAAGCCAAAUCAAACAAACCGAAACCAACACACGAGCACACACACAAAUGAAAAAAAAAACAACGUUGAAACGCUUCAAGGGAUUUCGCACGGCUCAGUAUUUUUGUUGCUGGUUUUUUUUCUUCUCUUUUUGCUGUUGUUGUGGUGGUGGCUGGCCCGAAACUGCGCUUCAAUUGCGACAACAACACGCUCCAAGGCAGUGCAGUGCAGUGCAGAGAGAGAAAGAAAGAGAGCGAAAGCCGAUAGAGAGGAGAGAUCGGGCAGCUUAGCAGAGCAAAGGCGGCUGGCUUUAACCGUUUGAAUGGAACUUUUGCCGAUAAAAGAUUUUCCUUUUUUGCGCACCCACUGUAGCUGGCGUCACCGUUGAGCGUGGACAGAGCCGUAAGCAGCGACGCCAACGCCAGCGCCAACGCCGAUGCCGAGCGACAGCAGGUUGGCAGAAAGUCUGCCACUGAUAACGGGAAAUGGCAUGCAAUGCUAGCAACAGCAGCCACAAUAAGGAGAGCCUCACCUCACUCUCGUGCCGGCCGUGUGUGUCUUUCUUCAAGCUCUCUCACGCCAAAAUAAACAAAACAAAUGUAAAGUGCGCCUCCGCCUCGCCCUCUGGAAAUGCUUGGUACAGCCACCAGACCGCCCAACCACCCCACCACACACCCCCCCUCGACCCACAACCUAGGGCAAGCCAUGAAAAUAAAUAUGUGGGCACAACAAAAAUGAAAAUUGUACGCGAAAUGUGCCGCAAAUGGCAGCAGAUUUGCCAUUAAAAUUUACAAAGGUUCUCGCUCUCGUCGUUAAGGCAGAGAAAGAGAGAGAGAGCGCCAACGCGUUGGGGCACAAGGUAUAUAAGGCCGAUGGUAGGGCAGUGCAACAGAGAGUGACCAAAUGUUUUAAUGUUCGAGCGAGCGAGAGUGGAGAUUAAGCCUGGGACCUUACCUUUGCUUCAAUAUACUUUUGAGGGGGGAGGCUAGGAUACGCAGACAGACCCAACUCCAGAGAGUCAGAGAGAGAGAGAGAGUGGGAGGCGAAGUAGAGGAAAGAAAAA